CAGCCGCCGCGGUAAUACGAAGGGGGCUAGCGUUGUUCGGAUUUACUGGGCGUAAAGCGCACGUAGGCGGAUCGAUCAGUCAGGGGUGAAAUCCCAAGGCUCAACCUUGGAACUGCCUUUGAUACUGGAAGUCUUGAGUCCGGGAGAGGUGAGUGGAACUGCGAGUGUAGAGGUGAAAUUCGUAGAUAUUCGCAAGAACACCAGUGGCGAAGGCGGCUCACUGGCCCGGUACUGACGCUGAGGCGCGAAAGCGUGGGGAGCAAACAGGAUUAGAUACCCCAGUAGUCCCUGUCUCUUAUAC
rnacentral:rRNA from 1 species